rnacentral:rRNA from 1 species
GGCUCAGGAUGAACGCUGGCGGCGUGCCUAACACAUGCAAGUCGAACGGAGAUGAGUUGAUAUUUCGGAUGGAUACUUAUCUUAGUGGCGGACGGGUGAGUAACGCGUGGAUAACCUGCCUCGUACUGGGGGAUAGCAGCUGGAAACGGCUGGUAAUACCGCAUAAGCGCACGAUGCCGCAUGGCAAUGUGUGAAAAGAUUUAUCGGUACGAGAUGGAUCCGCGUCUGAUUAGCCAGUUGGCGGGUAAGGCCCACCAAAGCGACGAUCAGUAGCCGGCCUGAGAGGGUGAACGGCCACAUUGGGACUGAGACACGGCCCAAACUCCUACGGGAGGCAGCAGUGGGGAAUAUUGCACAAUGGGCGCAAGCCUGAUGCAGCGACGCCCGCGUGAGUGAAGAAGUAUUUCGGUAUGUAAAGCUCUAUCAGCAGGGAAGAAAGGCCCUUUAUGGGAGAUGACGGUACCUGACUAAGAAGCCCCGGCUAACUACGUGCCAGCCGCGGC